rnacentral:rRNA from 1 species
GUGGGGAAUCUUGGACAAUGGGCGCAAGCCUGAUCCAGCCAUGCCGCGUGAGUGAAGAAGGCCUUCGGGUUGUAAAGCUCUUUUGUCAGGGACGAUAAUGACGGUACCUGAAGAAUAAGCCCCGGCAAACUUCGUGCCAGCAGCCGCGGUAAUACGAAGGGGGCUAGCGUUGUUCGGAAUUACUGGGCGUAAAGCGCACGUAGGCUGACAUUUAAGUCAGGGGUGAAAUCCCGAGGCUCAACCUCGGAACUGCCCUUGAUACUGGGUGUCUCGAGUCCGGAAGAGGUUAGUGGAAUUCCCAGUGUAGAGGUGAAAUUCGUAGAUAUUGGGAAGAACACCAGUGGCGAAGGCGGCUAACUGGUCCGGUACUGACGCUGAGGUGCGAAAGCGUGGGGAGCAAACAGGAUUAGAAACCCCAGUAGUCC